rnacentral:rRNA from 1 species
GAUGAACGCUGGCGGCGUGCCUAAUACAUGCAAGUAGAACGCUGAAGCUUGGUGCUUGCACCGAGCGGAAGAGUUGCGAACGGGUGAGUAACGCGUAGGUAACCUGCCUCUUAGCGGGGGAUAACUAUUGGAAACGAUAGCUAAUACCGCAUAAAAGUCGGCAUUGCAUGAUGUUGACUUGAAAGGUGCAACUGCAUCACUAAGAGAUGGACCUGCGUUGUAUUAGCUAGUUGGUGAGGUAACGGCUCACCAAGGCGACGAUACAUAGCCGACCUGAGAGGGUGAUCGGCCACACUGGGACUGAGACACGGCCCAGACUCCUACGGGAGGCAGCAGUAGGGAAUCUUCGGCAAUGGACGGAAGUCUGACCGAGCAACGCCGCGUGAGUGAAGAAGGUUUUCGGAUCGUAAAGCUCUGUUGUAAGAGAAGAACGAGUGUGAGAGUGGAAAGUUCACACUGUGACGGUAGCUUACCAGAAAGGGACGGCUAACUACGUGCCAGCAGCCGCGGUAAUACGUAGGUCCCGAGCGUUGUCCGGAUUUAUUGGGCGUAAAGCGAGCGCAGGCGGUUUGAUAAGUCUGAAGUUAAAGGCUGUGGCUCAACCAUAGUUCGCUUUGGAAACUGUCAAACUUGAGUGCAGAAGGGGAGAGUGGAAUUCCAUGUGUAGCGGUGAAAUGCGUAGAUAUAUGGAGGAACACCGGUGGCGAAAGCGGCUCUCUGGUCUGUAACUGACGCUGAGGCUCGAAAGCGUGGGGAGCGAACAGG